AUACUUUGUAGUGCCAACAGACAGAUCCAAAAUUACACUGUGACUCAUUCAUAAGGCAUUCAAACAUUUUUAUUUUCUUAAAAUGUCUGAGGUUUGAAUCAUCCAAGGCUCCAUCAAAAGAAGAAGAAAGCAAGCACUUUCUCCUUUCAGACAAGAGGUUUUGAGGAGAGGCUAUGUACUUCACCAGUCAACGCGGGAACGGGUGGAAUUCAAAGGCAUUUGUAAAAAAGAAACCAGUGCUCAUGUUAGCUUAUUGGAAUAAAUAUCUUCAGAACCGUGAAGUUCAAUGGAGGAUCCAGAAUUACCACCUCAGAUAGCAGAGAUGUAAGUUUCUCUGCUCUAAUGCUGGCUCCACCUCACCUGCAGCUCCCCGCUGCCUUCGCGUGCUAGCUUUCACAUGCUCCUCUCACCAGCGUUGCUGCAUGUGUGUCACAGCAUCGGCUGGAAAAUGGACAUAGCCUUGCUGCCACAGAAAUGAGCAUACUGCAGCCUUGCUUGCCUCCUUCAGAGCACCAGUUUCCUCCACGUCAAUGCUUCCUCUAAUGUUUGUUGCUUUCUACUGAUUCUUCUCUUUGUCUGUGACUUUACCGGUUUACAUCUGAUAAUUUUAUGUCUAAUGCCUAUGUCUAAUGCCUUUGUACCAAGUUAGGCCUUAGUCUUAGAGGCAUAGUAAAUCGAUGAAUCCACAGCCAGAAUAAGACAUCUCAGAAAUACACACUCAUCAAGAAACCAUCUAUAAUCUGUGCAGACUCCAGAAAACUUUAUGUGCAGUGGCCAAGAUUUACCCCCUGCCCCUGAAAAGACAGAAAAAAAGAAAGAUGGCCACAGAAUCAUUACAUGUCACACCUUAUUUUAUAACUAAACCUCUACUGGUUUGGACAUUGGACUUAUCCCUUUUUGUUACUAUCUGGUAUUCACAUUGAAGAUGUUGGCAAGUCUUGAAACUGGGGCAGUAGAAAUGUGGUUUGCAUUCAAAAAGUGAACCUAUGUUCACUGACACCUUCCUGCACAAUUAUUUUCUCAUAUGAAUCCUUUGGGUUUGCGUUCCUUUUCAGUCAGGUUUUGCAAGGUGGAUGGAUAUUAGGUGACAGUAUCCCAAGUGGUUAGUGCACACAACACAACAUGAAACCAGGCUUCCAAUCUUGGCAAGUAAAUGGAAGAAGAGCUGGCUUAGACAGUUUACUUUAAUAUGUCUUUUCUGGUUAUUUAAAAUGUUUCAUUCCUACUUUAUGUUAGCAGACUAGGCUAAAAUUUUCAGUACAGUUUUUCUCUCCUGCAUCUCUGUAAUCUGCAUUAACUGUAUCGCAACUGGAAGGAAACAAACAUAAAUCAGAAAGAUUAUUUCCCUAAAUCUAUUUGCUUUUUAAAGGCUGGAAAAGGAACUCUUAUGUUCAGAAUAUCUCCUCUUAAUAUCACAUCAGUGACUUAAAAUGAAUUUGAGUGUUACUGACUACUUUUCAACUGCAAGAACUUCAUGCAGUACUCUCAUUAGUACUUGAAUAACUACAGCAACAGGACCCCUUUGAUGCCAUGUAGUAAGGGAGUCCCUCUGUCUGAUCCAGACACGAAGCAGUUACUCGCUCAGAGCCCCCCAAGGACUGGGCAGCAGAGGUUGAAAAAGAACUUAAAUCUUCUCAGUCCCAGGUUAGUCCUUAUCAAUUGAUAACAUGCCCCCUCUGCCUGCGUGCUGUGCAGUCAAAUGUAAUAUUAGAUCUAUUACUUCAGUAGAAGUAUUUUUUUGAAAAUGUUAGGGCUGCACCACUUCUAGCAAUGGAAGCUGCGUUACGAUCAUUUCCGCACAGAAACAACGUAUAUAGCAUUUUCUGCUCCUGAAAACUGCUGCAGCUCUCUGGAGGUCUAAUGGUUUAGCCACUGCUUUUUUAUGAGAUAAACAUCAACACUUCACAAAAGACUAUAAAGCUCAAUUAUAGGUUUUUAUUAAAAUAUAUUGUAAAAAUAUACAAUAUAAUACCAUAGAAUGGGCACUUCCUUAAAAUACAAUAGGAUCCAUGUAUUAUUAUAUAUCAUAUUAUUAUUCUUGUCAUAAUCUGCUAAUAUUGAAAAAUUCAUGAUGAAAAUAAAAGUGUUUCCUGAAGUUCUGAAAAUACGAGA
ensembl:lncRNA